UACGAAGGGGGCUAGCGUUGUUCGGAAUCACUGGGCGUAAAGGGCGCGUAGGCGGCUUUAUAAGUCGGGGGUGAAAGCCUGUGGCUCAACCACAGAAUUGCCUUCGAUACUGUAGAGCUUGAGACCGGAAGAGGUAAGUGGAGCUGCGAGUGUAGAGGUGAAAUUCGUAGAUAUUCGCAAGAACACCAGUGGCGAAGGCGGCUUACUGGUCCGGUUCUGACGCUGAGGCGCGAAAGCGUGGGGAGCAAACAGG
rnacentral:rRNA from 1 species